CAUAAAUUUAUUCCUGCAACCUACAGAUACUCUAAAUGACAAAAUAAAAUUGAGCAUGAAUAUAGAAAACAUAAUGCAUUUACCAUGCAGAAAUAAUUUGCACCUAUAAACACAUUCUAAAUUGAACUACACAAGGCUAAUAUCACAUAUAAAAAUAAAGCAACUAGACAUUUAACUCACAGGAAGUAAUAUGAUCAAAGACAAAGUCUAAAUGCCAAAACAGUCAGUAAUUGUCUUCAUAAAAUUACUGGCAGUAAGAUUUUUCAUGUCAUUAUUAUCAUAUUGGUAAAACUUUCUACAGUAUAAAAGUAUACACUAAACAUUGUGUUGUAAAAAUCCCUGUGGUACGAGUCAUAAAAAAACACCCAGCAAAAACAGGUGUCUCUAUUACCUGACAUCUCUACAAGGCUUUGAAAUCAGAAACUGAUCUGCACAACCAUAAGUUAAGCAUGCCUUUAAAUGAUUUGUGAGACCAUUUUACCUCUAACAUUUUGCAGCAAAAUGUUCUUUUGACAGAACACUUUAUUCUGAGUCCCUAUUUCUGUAUUUCACCCUAAAAAUCACUUUUAUAAAUUACAAGUGUCACAUAGAUCAGUUUGAAUUAAAAACCAAAUCUCAAUCUAUGAAAAGAGUCUUGAUUUGAAUAGGCUGUUUUGCUUUUAAAUCAACUGGAAACCCAGGCCAAAUUCCCUUUAACAUAUUCAGUGUGCCUAAGCUGAUUUUGGUUUAAUUUCAAUACACGAAAUAGUACUGGUGACAGGCAAUAACAUGAAACUUGAGAGAUUUUGGCCAUGACUCUUGCAGAAUCUGGAGAAUUAGUAAGUCUGAAGUAUGUGAAACCAGUGCAAAAGGGAAGGAAUUAUCCAUGCUAACCUUUUAAUGCCUAAUUAUUUACCAAAGUGAAACGUCUUUGCUAUAUUCAUAAAACUAAAAUCCCAAUUCGUACAACUGUACUGAACAGGAAGGGUUCCUCUCCUAUUAAAUGCAGAGUGAUUAAACAUUGGAGACUGGAAAUGCUGGUUGAUAAAAAUGGCUGGUGCCUGUCCCAGAGGAGGUUCUCUCUGGAACGCAGACUUCUGAUAGCUGGAUUAACACACUGAAUAAAUAAGGAUGAUGACUUUUUAGAUAUUACUACUGGCAAUUUCUUUGUACUCAUUCCUCUGGAAUACUCCUGUUGGUUUAGGAGGAGAGGACACAACAAAUUUACCAAAAAUCCUAUGCCUAAUUCCGCAUUUAAACAGGCUCCUUUGCUGCAGCGGGAGUUGCCACUGCAAUGAGAAAUUUGUGUGUGAGGGCAGUGUCCCAUGGCUGUGGAUCUGUACAUCUCUUCACACCAAACACUGCCUGGGCCGGGCUGUGACCUCAGGCAGGAAGGAGAUUGCUUGACUUUCAUAUAAAAAAAGCAUGUUGCCUGAUAACUGGAAAAUUAUUUUUGCAUUAUUCCAGUAGUUGGACCAAAUAAAGAGCUGUUGUGAUGUAAUCCCAGAGACACAUCUCAGGUACUUGCUUUGAGCUGCAGAACACUGUCAAAUGAGUAGCAUAAUCCAGAAAUCAUCAUUUUGUCCUUAAAACUUACAUUCAGAAGUAUUGCUUGUAGGUGUUAUUUCACACUUUGCACAACAAAUAUGUUUCAUUUAUACAACUGUACAUUUUCACUAAAUAUUUACACUCUUCAUACACACCCAUUAUUAAUGUAACUCUUACUCCCUAUUGUAGAAUGGAUUUUUACCUGUAGCAUAAGGUUUAUCCAUAAGCAACUGCUUGACUAGAAUGAAUAAUGUUUCAUUUUCAAACAAUGACCUACAUUAAACAUGAGUGGUUAGUGAUAGAAAACAACAUGGUUAUAGUUCACUGUAAGAUCUUUCAAUUCUUGGAAUGAAGUUUUCUGGCAAAAUCUUCACUAGUUUGAAUUAAUUGUGAUAACCUCUUAUUCACCAAAACAAAGAAGUACACAUACACAAUUCCAUCAGAAUUCCUCAAGUCUUUACCAGCAUGGACAAAUUGCAAUAGAAAAUCUUCUAAGGAUUUACAGGAAAAGGCAAACUCAGUUGUUAGCCUAAGAGUCUGUCCUAAAAUGCAAUAGUUUAGUUAAAAUACAUAGGAGAAGCCUUCAUGGUAUUCUCUGCACUUGACUUGACUGCAGCCAAUACUAUUAAUCCUCUAAUGUCAUAAAUACUGUAGGAAAGACAUGCUAAUAAAAAGACAGAACUGACAUCAUUUAUCAUGUGUAGGAGUCUAUAAAUAAUGCAGAAAUCUCUCUCACUUUUACAAGAAAAUCAGCUUAACAACAGUUUUCUGAGAUAAUUGACUAAAAUUUCACUGCAAAAAUAUUUAUACUCUGAAAAUAAAAGUCUUUUUAAAUAAAAACAUGACUUUUUAUUCUCAUUGUUGUAUCAAUGUCAGCUUUCAAUGAAAGACUUAUGGAUGUGUUAUUAGUGUUCCUGCUAUCUGUUCUGUUUGUGGGAAGGUUUGAUUUAGUAAUGAAAUCUGCUCCAUUUGAAAAAUGCAUUUCAGCUUAAUGUCAGAGCUUUGAAAGCCUGGAUUGGUUUGAUAUCUAAAAUGACUUACAGUUGGGAAAAAUGAGUUUUCUCCUAAUUAAGACACAUUACAAUGAGAUUGUUCAAAUCAACUGUUGCUAACAAAAAUGCCCAAGUUACAUAUAUUUAGAAAAGAUUUAGCAAAUAGCUGUUCUCUGAUACAAGCCUGCUGCAGAGCACUCUGUAGGGAACCCCACUCUGUGGAAUUUAAGGGCACUGGUGGAAUUUACAGAGUCCAUACACCGCAUACCUAAAAUGUUGAUAAAGACUGAGUUUCACUUACUUAAAUCAAAGUUUUAAAGGUUGUCAAAAUAAAUACUGCAAGGUAAAACUCAGCAAAAUGCAGCAUUGUUUUUACCAUAAUCUCUAUUUUCCAGGUAUUUGUAAAAGUGAAUUGUUCAGCCCUUUUCCUAUUAUGAAGAAAUCCUUUAUAAUUUUGAGUUAUGGAUAGUGGCAAUAUACAUUAAGAAGCAGACAGUAAGGAUAGUGGUGGCUUUGGCUCCAAAACCUAAAUCCUAAACCUGUAUAACAUUGUAGAAGUAGUUUUUAUUCAUGAUAUAUAAAUGUGUUAUUCUUCCCUGUGCAAACUGUGCUUCUGCAAGGAGCCCUGUAAACUUCAUUGAACAUAAUUCAGUGAUGGAACUCCACAGAGGAACAGGACUGCCUGGAUACAAUGCUACGUAGAACUGAGGAAUUUUUAUUCUUUCUACUCAACAGAAAAUAAAUAAAAGUAUAUUUUGUUAUUGUUUUAAAAUGCUUAUGGGAAUACUUUAAAAAUCUAAAUUUUGUCAUAAACCUCAUUUUCUGUAUUCUUUUCUUACAGGUAAAAUAUUCUAUUGUGUUAUUUAAAGCUGUGUUGAAAAGUGAGGUGAUUCAUGUCUGUGCAAGUGUCAGGAUUAUGUAUAUUCUGUAUAUUUAGAUAUUCAUAAUGAGUAUAACUUCGGAAUGAGAAUAAAAUAUGAAUGAAAUACUUUUCCCAGAAAAACUGUACAGGUUUUUGAAAGACUAUAUAAUCCUCACAAAACUUCUAGAGCCCACUUUUGUCUGUGGCAGACACCUUCUCGCACAUAACACUGAUAUUAUGAAUAGAUGCUAGUAAAUGAAACAUCUCUAGCUAAUAGUACCAAAGAUAUAAUUUAUAGUAGUAAUGGAACUUGCUGUAUGUACUGCUAUAUAUUAUAGUUUUCAUUGUAUGACUUUUUUAUUUCAACCACAACUUAACAGGAUGACAAAGGAAAGCAUGAAUACACGUAAAUGUGAGAUGUUGUGACUAAGCACAGGGUAACAAUGGGAAAUUUUCCCUACAAAUCAUCUCUUUGCAUGAAGCUUUAAAUGUAUUUCCUCCACAGAACUCAAACCAACCCCUGACAUUAAAGUGAGUGGCCUGUUUUGUAUGUCCCUUACUUCAUCAUUCCUUGUAACUGCUUUGUACAAUACACAACUGCACAGAAAGGAGUUUGCUGUGACCCCACCCCUGUAGUUCCCACAAAAGCUACCACUGAAACCCUCAAAUGGCUACCAGAAAUCUCAGCAUUGGGAAGGCUAAGGAAUUUGCCAGCAUGGUUUUAAAAGAAGCCAAGAGGACCAUCAGUCACAUACAAUGAUUGCAUUUUUGCCUGCUGAUAUUAAUCCAUUUUUAAAAAGAAAAGAAAGCAAUAUGUGUUUUACUUUUCUCAUGCUUGUGACUGCAGAUUCCAGUUAAAAAGUGAUGAUUUAGGUUACAGAUUUUGUACUUCCAUUUUCCCCUUCAAUUUGUCAAAUGCAGUGAGAGAACUAAAAAAAGGAGAGAAGAAUAGAGGUGGCAAGGCUUCUAAAUAUAACCAAGUUUGUUUAUGUCAAUGAGCUCUGCAAAAGGAUAGUGUGUUUAUGUGACUUUCUCAGUGAGAUGGUUUGUAAUGCUCAUUUAUGCUGUGCAUCCCUUAUUGUUCAUAUUUCAAAGGCCUUUUUUUCCCAAGGCUCUAAACAUACAUAUCAAAAGUUUAAUUAUUAACUCAGUUGUGGAAAUUGAAGUAUUGAAGCUGACUGACUCUGUCAAGUCGAUAUUUACUAUUAGAAGAAGAAUUAGAUUUCAUGUCAUGCCUCCAAAUCUUAAAUCUAGAAUUGUCCACCUACCACACUGUGAUAAAUGUUCAUGUGUUUGGGUUUAAGUGCUUAGAUCCCAUGGAAGAGCAAUCAGGAAAAUUACUAAAAAAUUUCUUAAGGAUAACUCAGAUGUUGAACAUAAAACCCCCUCAUAUUUCAUGUUACAAUUCUCAUCACUACAAUUUCUCAGGAAUGUUCUGAUUCAUCCCUGUGGAACACUUUGUGUGCUGCAGUUUAACUUUGUAUUUCUGUCAUGGUACCAGCAAUGUGCCAAAACAGCGAUUUCCUACAGCCGGCGUGUUGCUCACUCCUAAAGCAAACGUGUCCUGUCUGCUCCCAUCCCCGCUGUCUGUUACAAUUAUAAUUUUCUGUAAGAUAAGAAAAUCCCAUUUUUACCACUGGAGAGCCAGGCUGCUUAGGUCACAAGAUUCUCCUGGCUUAAUCCUUGCGUAUGAAUCAUGAACUUUCCCUAAUAAGUACCGGCAUUCUUCAGAUGAUCAAGCUAGCUUACGAAGGCUUCCAGAGCUUUCCACAUUAAUUAUCACCAUGUUUCAAGGAUCCAAAGUAGCAGCUAAUUAAGAAUUAUUAAGACUGGCUGGGGCACAAGUGCAAGCUGCCAGUCUCACAUUUACCAUGGAACAGAAGACAAAUAAUCUGACUGGAAAGUGAACCAGAGAGAAAUCUGCUUUCCACUUACAUCAAACAAAGCUUAAAGGUAUAUGGGCUUCAAGAGAAAGGAUGGAAACAAAGCAAUCCUGUCCAUUUGCAGCUGACUGGACAUUAUGAAGCCUGUGGCAAGCCUGUUUUUUCUCACUACUGCAUCAGUUGAAAUUUGCAGGAAAAAAGUAUGAGGAUGCAUUGUGAUUGUCUUCUUUUUUUCUGGGUGGAGAACCACAGGCAAGAACUUUGGAAAUCACACAUUAGCACAAUAUUCAAGUCAAACCAUGUCCAAACAACUCUGGCCGCCUGCACUUCAAAGCACUGGCAAAGCCCACACAGUGUUCUUCCAAGGUUUGCUCGAUUGCCAUAGUGGUGAAUCAUGACCAUAAAAGAAGCUGUGUGAAUGUUGGUUGGGUUUUUUCUCUCCAUACAGGAAACAAUAAAACAUUAAUAAAGAAGUGAGGUCAAGAGAGAACUAUAGAAGUGUUCUUCAGUGACAUCUAAGUGGCUGGUUUUUUUUCCACCUGGGACACCUAGUCAAAACAUUUGUUAUUGAAGAUCUCACUGUGACUCACAUGUUAAAAUUCCACAUACAGAUUUAACUCAGUCCUAACAAACUGUCUGUUACCUCAGUCUGACAAACUGUGACAAACAAUCCCUGAAAUAUUUUAUAUCAAUAAAUCUGACAGAGUUCGGUGUAAGUCACUUCUGAGCAUUCUAGCUUGUUUUGGGUUUAUUACUCAGAAAAAAAUUAAAGUAUGGUAA